rnacentral:rRNA from 1 species
UACGUAGGUGGCAAGCGUUGUCCGGAUUUACUGGGCGUAAAGAGCGCGCAGGCGGUCGGAUAAGUCGAAUGUGAAAGCCCCCGGCUCAACUGGGGAGGGUCAUUCGAUACUGUUCGACUCGAAGGCAGGAGAGGGAAGUGGAAUUCCCGGUGUAGUGGUGAAAUGCGUAGAUAUCGGGAGGAAGACCAGUGGCGAAGGCGGGUCUCUGGACAGUUCCUGACACUGAGGCACGAAGGCCAGGGGAGCAAACGGG